GGACUACAAGGGUAUCUAAUCCUGUUUGAUCCCCACGCUUUCGGGUCUCAGUGUCAGUGUUUGGCCAGUCACCCGCCUUCGCCUCCGGUGUUCCACCUGAUAUCUACGUAUUUCACCACUACACCAGGUAUUCCGAUGACCUCUCCAACACUCAAGCUUCGCAGUAUCAAAUGCACUUCCAGGGUUGAGCCCUGGGCUUUCACACCUGACUUACAAAGCCACCUACACCCGCUUUACGCCCAAUGAUUCCGAGCAACGCUAGGAUCCCUCGUCUUACCGCGGCUGCUGGCAC
rnacentral:rRNA from 1 species